UACGAAGGGGGCUAGCGUUGCUCGGAAUCACUGGGCGUAAAGGGUGCGUAGGCGGGUCUUUAAGUCAGGGGUGAAAUCCUGGAGCUCAACUCCAGAACUGCCUUUGGUACUGAGGAUCUUGAGUCCGGGAGAGGUGAGUGGAACUGCGAGUGUAGAGGUGAAAUUCGUAGAUAUUCGCAAGAACACCAGUGGCGAAGGCGGCUCACUGGCCCGGUACUGACGCUGAGGCACGAAAGCGUGGGGAGCAAACAGG
rnacentral:rRNA from 1 species